rnacentral:tRNA from 1 species
GAGAUGCUAGUAGAAUGCCAACAACACUGCCUUGUCAAGACAGAACUGCAAGUUAAACCCUUGCGCAUCUCU